GGGUUGUGAGGUUAAGCGACUAAGCGUACACGGUGGAUGCCCUGGCAGUCAGAGGCGAUGAAGGGCGUGCUAAUCUGCGAUAAGCGCCGGUAAGGUGAUAUGAACCGUUAUAACCGGCGAUACCCGAAUGGGGAAACCCAGUGUGAUUCGUCACACUAUCAUUAACUGAAUCCAUAGGUUAAUGAGGCGAACCGGGGGAACUGAAACAUCUAAGUACCCCGAGGAAAAGAAAUCAACCGAGAUUCCCCCAGUAGCGGCGAGCGAACGGGGAGGAGCCCAGAGCCUGAAUCAGCAUGUGUGUUAGUGGAAGCGUCUGGAAAGGCGCGCGAUACAGGGUGACAGCCCCGUACACAAAAGCGCAUGUGCUGUGAGCUCGAUGAGUAGGGCGGGACACGUGGUAUCCUGUCUGAAUAUGGGGGGACCAUCCUCCAAGGCUAAAUACUCCUGACUGACCGAUAGUGAACCAGUACCGUGAGGGAAAGGCGAAAAGAACCCCGGCGAGGGGAGUGAAAAAGAACCUGAAACCG
rnacentral:rRNA from 3 species